AGGAUGGCGACCGGCGCACGGGUGAGUAACACGUAUCCAACCUGCCGAUAACUCGGGGAUAGCCUUUCGAAAGAAAGAUUAAUACCCGAUGGUAUAAUUAGACCGCAUGGUCUUGUUAUUAAAGAAUUUCGGUUAUCGAUGGGGAUGCGUUCCAUUAGGCAGUUGGUGAGGUAACGGCUCACCAAACCUUCGAUGGAUAGGGGUUCUGAGAGGAAGGUCCCCCACAUUGGAACUGAGACACGGUCCAA
rnacentral:rRNA from 1 species